rfam:Triticum aestivum genome assembly, contig: Triticum_aestivum_CS42_TGACv1_scaffold_030541_1BL
UUAGAACUCCCUCUGUUCGGAAUUACUUGUCAUAAAAAUGGAUGUAUCUACAACUAAAAUACAUCUAGAUACAUUCUCAUUUCUUGGACAAGUAAUUCCGAACAGAGGGAGUACAUU